GACGAACGCUGGCGGCGUGCUUAACACAUGCAAGUCGAACGGAAAGGCCCUGCUUUUGUGGGGUGCUCGAGUGGCGAACGGGUGAGUAACACGUGAGUAACCUGCCCUUGACUUUGGGAUAACUUCAGGAAACUGGGGCUAAUACCGGAUAGGAGCUCCUGCUGCAUGGUGGGGGUUGGAAAGUUUCGGCGGUUGGGGAUGGACUCGCGGCUUAUCAGCUUGUUGGUGGGGUAGUGGCUUACCAAGGCUUUGACGGGUAGCCGGCAUGAGAGGGUGACCGCCGACAUGGGGCCUGAGAUACGGACCAGAGUGCUACGUUAGGCAGUAGGCGGGAGUCUUGCACAAUGGGGGGAAGCCUGAUGAAGCAAUGCCGCGUGCGGGAUGACGGCCUUCGGGGUGUAAACCGCUUUCGCCUGUGACGAAGCGUGAGUGACGGUAAUGGGUAAAGAAGCACCGGCUAACUACGUG
rnacentral:rRNA from 1 species